ACGGGAGAAAAUGGCUGGUUGGCCUAAUCCACAAAUGCGAGAGAACAAAAACACAGAUGCCAAUAGGAUUUCUAUUUCUCUAUCCAAAUGUCUCUCGGAGAGAAAAAUAUUCUAAACCUGUCAAAGCACUUUAUUUCUGGCACACAUUUUAUCGCAAAUUCAAAGGGUGCUGUUGGAAUGAGUCGGAUUCAGACUGACAGAUUGUCACCUUCUCGUGUGUAGAGAUUAUCAGAUUUCCACGCGCCAUUUCUCGUCAACAUUACUAUCAGAUCAGCACAACUCUUCUGCAUUCAUGUAAGUGCAUGGCAUUAUCAAUCGCUCAAUUUCGGUUCGAGGAACACUUGUUUACUUGGCCAUGUGUUUGAAUUCGAAGGUGUUUCACAUUGGAAGGAAAAGAGCAAGGCGAAUUCAACUGCCCACCCCAAAAACCACAAUCAUCAAUGCAGACAACCCAAGAUUGCAGUUCAUGUAGUACACAGUGGUACGUUCUAUGUACAUAGUAAGUACUCCCUCCAUCCGUGAGGCAAUCUCGAUUCUCGAUCUUAAUUUCAAUCUUCUGGAUAAACAUCAUUUCUAAAGGGAAGAAAUCCCAAGGACCCUGCUCAAUCACUUCAAUUUUGUUCGCUUGCACAAGUGUACUUUGCCCUGGCAGUAAAAAUCAAUUCGGGUGUUCAGUAAUUGCAAUCAAUUCGAUUUAGUGAAUGGGCUUUUCAUAAUGAUACCCUCUUUCUAUUGAAGACCAUGAGUGUCAGACGACAGAACGAACGAACCUCUUGAUAACAAACCCUUAAGCCUUCGUACAGACGUAAAGUUCAAGUGGUGCACGAUUUUGACGGCCAGAAAGAACAUUGACAUGAAUGCUAAAAGAACGUACGACACCAUUUUUUCCUCUCAAAAAUUGGCACGUGCUAUUUAUGGAUAAACUGAAACAUCAAAUAAAGAUAUCCAGCUCAAUUGGGAUUUUGGAAUCAACGUAAACGAGAAGGAGCUAAAGCUCAAGAUUGAAAAGCUCAAGAUUCAAAAAAAUCCAAGCAGCUCUUCAUUUUUGUUCGAUGUCCGAGUCAAAGAAAUCAAGAUCUCUGAUGAAACCCAUUGUGAGGGCAAACUGGAUAUAUUUUAAAUUCUAGUAUCAGUCAAACGUGCAAAUAAAAAAAAAAUCAGACAUUGGUUUGCUAUUUGU